UAUUUCGAGAUCCGAAAAUUAUUUCGAGAUCCAAAACUUACUUUUCAUGCAAAAAAUUUAGAUAUAAGAUCUGAAAUUUGUGUUUGCGCAUGGGGAAUUAGUCAUGGAUAGGUCAAAUUAGGUCUUAUAAUUAGAUUACACCUAGGGUCUUUAAUUUGAACAUAAUGGGUCUAAAUCGAUUUAGCAAUUGCUCAAACCGAGUCAAAUGUUAAUUAGAAUUAGAUCAAUAGAGCUUAAGAUCAUACAAUCAUUGUUGAUCGAAUUGAUUGACAUCCAUAUGUAGAAUUGAUUAACCUAAAGACCUAAUUCAGCUCUGUGGCUCAAGUCUGAUUCAUCUAAACUAACCUAUUUGGAUCAAUUGAUGUCUUAGACAAGUAAUUGAGAGGUGCUUAAUUAGGACCCUUGAUCCAUCAAGAGGGAGCCUCCCAUCGAUCUCCACUUACCUGAUCAAUUUGAAAGAUUGAGUCUUGAAUGUGGUUGCUUGGCAGUUUGGUUUGGCUCAUGCCAAUUAAAUCAACCAUGUGAUAACUGAUUAAAUGAGACCUGAACCUAAACCUCUCCAUACAUAUUAAGUCGAGAAGUCUUCCACUAUUGUAGAAGUGCAGGUAUGCUACUGGUGUUGAUUGUUCUCGACUGAUUACAGUGGUUCAGUUGCACCAAAAAUAUACCACUCUAUUAGCAAAAAAUUGCUCCUAGACAAGGAUAGGGUUGUGUCCAAUAUCUGUCAGGUGAGGGAUCCAAUGACGGUUUUGCAUCUGCUUGUGAACAAUGAGUCGGACUUAACUAAGGAGUGUGGUCAAUAUCUGUCAGGUGACUCCACAUGACUUAGAGACCAGAUCGCUGCAACAUACUUAGAGAAACAUCUGAACAACGAGUUGUCCAUGCAUCGAUAUACAUGUUACCAAUAUCUGUCAGAUGAGGUACACAGCAUCAGUAGAACUGCAGCACCCACUAGAAACCCAUUUGUCAUGUUAAGAUUUUCGCUUCUCCACCUGAGGUGUAGGAAUCCGAAAAAAUAGUGGGAGCCUAUUUGCUUUUAAAAGUCUAUAGAGCAAAAAUAUUAAAUCAAGUACAAACAUCUAACUAGAAUCUUUACUCUGUGGUUAUUAUGCCUGCUUCCAACCCUCGAGCUUAAAUCCUAAAUAUCAACUAUUUAAUCGAAACCAAUUACAUAAACUGGCUCAGAAAUCUAAGAAUCAUUCUUAAUUUUUUAGAAAAAAUAAACCAUAUUCUCGAUCAGAAUAUCCCUACGUUAUCAGUUCGUUCGAUACAUGAUCAAUGAGCUAUAUUUGAUAAGUGGAUGAACGAUGACAAUAAGGAUAGGUGCUAUAUAUUGACGUCCAUGUCAAAUGAAUUCCAACACAUGCAUGAGCACAUGUACACUGCCAAGGAUAUACUGACUCAUCUACAAGUGUUGUGAAGUGAUCAAGUCACACAGCGCAUGAGAUGCGCGAUGGGUAAGUUAUCGAUGAUCACUAUUUGAUAAUGAUCAAGAAUAUUGAAAAGCUUGAAAAGCUCCACAUGACCAUGCACAAAAAAUUGCUAGUGGAUUUGAUCCUGCGAUCCCUUCUUAGUUUGUAUGGACAGUUUAUGGUAAACUAACAUAUGAAUGACCAUGAUAGCGCCAAAUCUGAAUUGGUCAAUUUAUUAGUAACUGUCGUAGGGACCUUGAAAAGUUCAAGGAGUACAUACCUGAAGAGCUUAAAGAAACAAAGACACGUCUUAAAAAGGCAUGUCAAAAUUGCUCAAAACUUAUCUUACGAUUACAUCCUCCCAGUUGAGUAUUAGACUCUAGUGCCUAUUUAUGCACUUCAUUAUAGGGUCUAAGAAAAUGUAGAGGACUGAAGGAAGGUGAAGUAAUCCUUCCAGUCGACAAUAGGGUAAGAGUUGCUGCUGUGGCCGUGGGUACCUAUCCUCCACGACUACCAUCUGGAUUUAGUUCUUAAAGACAGUCUCUAUCAUUUGCAUGGUAAUGCAUCUAUGAACUUAUUUGAGUAUGCAGUAAAUGCCAUUGGAUCUGAGAGAUCCAGAGUUGAGAUAAAUCUGAAGUAUAUAUAACACCUUAGGCUAGGUCAUAUAGAAGAAAAAAUGAUUAACAGA
rnacentral:lncRNA from 1 species